rnacentral:rRNA from 1 species
UGAGGACAUUAAGGUAGCAUAAUCAAUUGUUUAAUAAAUUUAAACUAGAAUGAAAGGAGCAAAGAAAGUUUACUAUUAACAUGUAAUCAACAGAAAUUAUAACUAGGGUGAAAAUUCCCUACAGCAAUCUUAAAACGAGAAGACCCUAGAAACUAAUAAUCACAACCUUUUUUGGGAUAAAACCUUAAAACAAAAGAACUACCACCCUUUAAAAUAAAAUAGUUACUCUAGGGAUAACAGCACAAUAAAAGCUAAGAGAACUCAUCUACCCUUUAGAUUGUGACCUCGAUGUUGAAUCAAGAAUUACUGGUUGUAGAAGACCAGCAAGUUUCGUCUGUUCGACGAUACAUAAAUACGUGAUUUGAGUUUAAACCGUCGCAAGACAGGUUGGAUUCUCUUUAAGACUGCAACAUUCAACCAUUAUUAGUACGAAAGGACCAUUGU